GAAUUCAGAAUUGUUUUCUGUGGAUGAAGCAACCCCGGGUCGAGCUCUGCUGCUCCCUGGCGGUCGGUGGGAGUUAUUGCGCCACUGGCCACCUGCCCCUACUGCCGAAGAGCCUGGUCCUGUCCUAACUUUCGUCGCAGUGGAUGCCCAAGAGUUUGAGAGAUGGUGAAUCUACAUCAUCCUUAAGGGAGGAAUCUCCUGUACAGUGACUCUACAAGUCAUUAUCAGUGACUUUUAGAACUUGUCAAGUAAGGGAGAAUCACUGUUGUACAGGGGACUGUUGUCGUUUUUCCGCUGCUGGAAUUAUUAAAAACAAACACACAACCGUGUCGCUGCCAUCUGGUCCCCUGAAAUCUUACCCGGGGUGGUAAUUAUAUAAUAACAACAACAACAAAGACAACAACUUAAAAGGAUUAACAAAUUGAACAUUUACGAUGUGCCAAGUAUUAUCCUAAGUACGUUACAUGUAUUAACUGAUGUAAUUGCCACAAUAAUCUUAUGAGCAAACAAAAGCAAAACCUAGAGCCAAAGACUGUAAUACCUGGAGGGAGAAAAGCGAAGAAAUGGAAUGGAACUGUUGAGGGACAUUGACUUUGUAACAAAUCAAGUGAGAAGCCCAAGAGACCAAGUAGGUCUUUGAAGAUGUAAAAAUAAAACAAAAUAAUCCCCUAAGGAAAAGUAGAAAGAAGAGGAAUCCCCGGUGGAAAACAAAGAAAAUGGACCUUGUGUGGCUGUUAGGGACCCAAAAUAAAACGGAAUCAGACAGUCAUGACAGAUCUGGGAUUCAGUCAUGUAUUCUGUGUUCUUAGGAAAACCACAAACAACUAUAAGGACUUCUGCUUCUCCUAAGGGUCAUACCUGAAAAAGCCUCCAAUGAGAAGCUCCAGUGAUAGCCAAUCAUUGAAGACUUGUGGUUAGACUGUGAGGACUUAUGGGCAGGCUGCAAGAACCACACAAUCCCUUUUGCAAUUCCCCCAACUGUGACUUCUGCAGCUUUUGCUUCUAAAAAAUUCCUCAUCCCCUUCACCCCCCAGGGAUGUAUUUUCAGUAUGUAUCUCCAGUUUGCAAACCUUGCACAACCUUACAAACAAUAAACCUCGUCUUUUGCUUUAAGACAA